rnacentral:rRNA from 1 species
UACGAAGGGGGCUAGCGUUGCUCGGAAUCACUGGGCGUAAAGCGCACGUAGGCGGCUUUUUAAGUCAGAGGUGAAAUCCUGGAGCUCAACUCCAGAACUGCCUUUGAUACUGAGAGGCUUGAGUCCGGGAGAGGUGAGUGGAACUGCGAGUGUAGAGGUGAAAUUCGUAGAUAUUCGCAAGAACACCAGUCGGCGAAGGCG